ensembl:lncRNA
UUUUUUUUUUGUUUGUUUUUUUUUUUGUUUUUUUGUAGCCCAUAGGCACCAUGCUUUCCUAAACCUACUGGACAAGCAGGCUCUACUGUAUUUUCAUUGAGCUUAUGGUCUAAGGCAAGAGAGAAAUAUUAGUCACAUUAUUCGUGUUGGUAAAUGAAUGGACAGCUUCAGAUUAUAAUUCUUAAGAAGACGAAGGUAAUGCGACUCAGAGUUAGGAUUGGGGUGCAGCCCAGGAGGCUCCUGGGCCAAAAAAUUAAGAGUCAGGAGUUCCCGUCGUGGCGCGGCGGUUAACGAAUCCGACUAGGAACCAUGAGGUUGCGGGUUCGAUCCCUGCCCCUGCUCAGUGGGUUAACGAUCUGGCGUUGCUGUGAGCUGUGGUGUAGGUUGCAGACGCGGCUCGGAUCCCGCGUUGCUGUGGCUCUGGCGUAGGCCGGUGGCUACAGCUCCGAUUCCCCCCCUAGCCUGGGAACCUCCAUAAGCCACGGGAGGGGCCUCAAAAAAUAGCAAAAAGACAAAAAAAAAAAAAAAAAAAUGAGUCAAAGCCACACAAGUUAUUAAUCCUGAGCUUGCAGGUCCCUGAAGGUGAGAGUAAUUAUGCACCAUUUAAGGGAACCUGAAAGUGAGUAAAGGUGAACAAGAUUCCGUUUAAUUUCAGUUAUUACUGCAAGUCUUUAACCAAGAUUUAAAAGCCCCAAAGGAUGGAAGUUCCUGUUGUGGCUCAGCAGUAACGAGACUGACUAGCAUCCAUGAGGAUGCAGGUUCAAUCCCUAGCCUCACUGAGUGCAUUAAGGAUCUGGCGUUGCCGUGGGGUAUAUAGGUCGAAGACAUGGCUCAGAUCCCAUGUGGCUGUGGCUGUGGUGUAGGCCAGCUGUAGUAGCUCCAGUUCAACCCCUCGACAGGGAACUUCCAUAUGCUGCAGGUGUGGCCCUAAAAAGCAAAAAUGAAUAACUAAACAAUUAAAAUAAUAAAGUCCCAAGGGAAUCUGGUGCAGUUGCAGUUUUGCAUGUACCCUGCACACCAGAUUGAAUGCAUGCUACCGUUUACUGAUAAAGGUGCUGGCAGAGCCUUCACCCUUUUAAAAUGGUAUGUAUAAAAUAAUUAGCUAUAGUUAAUGGAAACCUCUGUAUGGCACAGGGAAGUCUGCACAGCAUUCUGUGAUUGUCUAUAUGGGAGAAGAAUCUGGAAAAAUAAGAUGGAUAUGUUUAUGUGUACAGCUGAGUCACUGCUGUACAGCAGAAAUUGUCACAUUGUAAGUCAUCUAUAAUUCAAUAAAAUUUAUAAAAUACAAUAUAAAAUGAAAUAAUAAACUCUAAUGGAAAAGAAAAAAACGGUAAAAUUGGGAUGACUAUUCCUCCCUAGAAUAAUAAAAUGUCCGCAGACUUCUCAAACUGACAACCUGGGCAUGACAAAAUAAGGUAUUCCAGAAUAACAAAGUAUUCUGGAAUAGUUCCCUACUUCCCAGUGCCCCCCACCCCACCUUCUCUGCUACAACCACCUCUCAUUCCACUGCUGUCACUCUGGAGUCCUUGCUCUUCCUUGACAUAACCAGCUCAUUCCUGUCUUGGAGCCUCAGAUCCAGCUAUUUUCUGUCUGGGACCUUCUUCCUUGAUGUGCACUUAGCUACCUUCCUCAGCUCCUGUGAAUCCUCUAAACAUGUAUCCCCCUAUUUGGCAACCAGCCUCCACCACCCACUUACCUGCACUCUCCAUUCUGCUCUAGCAUACUGUGUAGUUUACCUAAUAAAUAAAAUAUAAAUAAAAUAAAUAUUGUUUACUGUCUACCUCCCUCUGCAGGAAUGUGAAUUCCACAAGAGCAGGGUCUUUGCUUACUUCACUUUUUUUUUCUUUAAGAACCUAGAAUACCAUACAGACACACAGACACACACACACACACACACACACACACACACAGUAGGGACUAUUUUUUUCAAUGAAUGAAUUGUGUUAAUAAAAACACUACAUGGAAUUCCCAUCUAGAAACGAAGCUGACUAGGAACCAUGAGGUUGUGGGUUCGAUUCCUGGCCUCAUUCAGUGGGUUAUGGAUCUGGCGUUGCCGUGAGCUGUGGUGUAGGCUGAAGACACGGCUCGGAUCCUGCACUGCUGUGGCUGUGGCGUAGGCUGGCAGCUACAGCUCUGAUUAGAUCCCUAGCCUGGAAACCUCCAUAUGCUGCAGGUGCGGCCCUAAAAAGACAAAAGACAAAAGAUAAAAUAAAAUAAAAACACAACAUAUAUAAUACACAUGAUAUAUAAUAAUGUUUCAGUACUUGCAAAUUUCAUAAUUCAGAACUCUUUAUGCCCUAAUCAUUGUACAUAACUUACACAAUGGGUGAUAAAAAUUGAGAGAAUUGGGCACCCUUCAAUUUGGCCAAUAUAAGUCUAAAUAUGCUUAAUUCAAAACCAAAUUCAUUGUAGCCAAAAGGGAAAUCUCAGGGAAAAGAGUGGACUGGAAGUACAAGGAUGGGCUUAGGGGUAGGAAUUUGGACGCAAUCUGAAGAAAGAUAACGAGGAUCAGGAUCCAUUAGCUAAAGGCCCCUGAGUAAUCUUACAAAAAAGAACUCAAGUUGCUUCUGAAGAAGCUCCUCAUUUGCGCUCUACUGCUCUGGGUCCACUUCUCUGCUUUGGGCUGUGGGGGUGGGGGUGGGGAGGUGCUCUACCCUCUGGCUCCCAGAUAAGGAAUUAAGAGUCCGAUGGCUCAUUGUUCAGGUUACCAUUGCCGUGUCACAAAUCACAACUCAGCAGCUUCAAACAAGCAUUUUAUUUUGUUCACAAUUUUGGGGGUCAGGAAUUCAGGAAGGGCUCACCUCAGCAGCCCUUACUCCGCGCCUCUCCUGCUCUGGCAGCUGGCAGCUGGAUAUGCAGACGUCUGGAAGCUCAAAGAGGCUGGACAUCCAAGAUGGUGCACCCACAUGGCUGGCAGUUGGUGCUGGCUAGCUGGAGCUCAGCUUAGCUGCUGACCAGAACACCUGGUGGUCUCAGGCAGCUGGUUUCCCGCAGAGAACUAAGUGGAAGCUGCAUGGCAUUUUCUGAUCUGGCCUCAGACACUGCAGAGUCACUUCUGCCACAUUCUAUUGGUGAGUCACUUAAGUUCGGCCCAGCUUCAAAGGGGAGGGCAUAUAAAUCCCACCACUCAAUAGGAGAAGGUCUAAGCACAGGGAGUUCCCGUCAGGACCCAGCAGUAAUGAACCUGACUAGUAUCCACAAAGAUGCGGGUUCGAUCCCUGGCCUUGUUCAGUGGGUUAAGGAUCCAGCAUUGCCCUGAGCUGUGGUGUAGGUCGCAGACGUGGCUCGGAUCUGGCAUUGCUGUGGCUGUGGUGUAGGCCGGCAGCAGCAGCCCUGAUUCAACCCCUAGACUGUAAACUUCCAUCUGCCAUGGUGUGGCCCUAAAAAGACAAAAAAAAAAAAACAAAAAACAAAAAACAAACAAAAAAAAAACCACUCAUCAAACAUGUUGGCUUCUCAUUAGGUCUUAUGCUGAUGAGACACCCAGAACUAGUGUUUGACGUCUUAAGACACAUCUCAUGUCCCUUGUGUACUUAUCCUCUAUAAACUCUCUACACUGUUCUCUACCCGCUCCUUUCAGCUUCUGGAAACUGUCAGAAUAGCGUGGAAGGUGGAAAGAGUAGGAGGGAUGAUGAUGGUGGAGGAGCAAGAACUUAACACGACAGACUCCAAGGAAAUGCACCGCAGUUCCCUGUCAUUGAGGCACCCAAACUGUAUACAUACAAGCAUCACUACUUUUUAAGUACCUACUCUGUGCCUGACACUCCAUGCUGUGUAUGCACAAAUUCUCUGUCC